UACAUGUGGGGCAAGCGUUGUUCGGAAUUACUGGGCAUAAAGGGUGCGUAGGCGGCCUAUUAAGUCAGGGGUGAAAGACGGUAGCUUAACUAUCGCAGUGCCUUUGAUACUGAUGGGCUUGAAUGUACUUGAGGUAGGCGGAAUGUGACAAGUAGCGGUGAAAUGCAUAGAUAUGUCACAGAACACCAAUUGCGAAGGCAGCUUACUAAAGUAUGAUUGACGCUGAGGCACGAAAGCGUGGGGAGUCAAACAGGA
rnacentral:rRNA from 1 species